UCUGCCAUAAUUCAUAAUGGAAAUGUUCAUAUUUGUAAUGGAGCUGCUGUUCUCACUUGACCUGACUUUCUUUUGUAUCUGAAGACUUGAGACUGAUGCGAGACUUGGAAGGAGACACGCAAGUUCAAACCUGCCUAACCGUCUCUAAGGUACAUGCUAACAGCAGCGCUGCAGCUCUUCGAUGUGACGGACGGUGAAUGCAGGCGGCGCGGAGGAAAAGGUCGUCUUUGAAGUUGCUGCUCUGUGAUCAGAGAGGCAGCAACAACUGCAGCCAGAUGGCAGGAAACUGAUCACAUGUUAGAAACGCCUCAUCGCAUGUCAGAGAACCAGGAGAGGUGAACUGGAACAGGCUAUUUGAAACGUGGACGGAGAACAACAGCACAUCAGGAACUUCUCGUUCCUCCGAGGGUUCUUUGCUCGAGGUGUGGCUCCCAGCAGACUUCUCCUCUCAGUUAUAAUGAAGAUCAGCUUCACUUGGCUCCUCCAGUGGCUGCUGGAAACAUUAAAUAUCAAGAAAAAUACAGCACUGAUUUCCAAUCCAGGAAAACGUCCCUGUUUGUUUCAGGCCAAACUGGCUCUAGUUUAGUUCUCUUGUGUUUCCACAGCAAUGAAAUCCCAUCUGGGGCUGCAGUUACAGGAUGUGAAAUGAGUAAAAGACGGACAGAAUCAACUAUCGCUGAUCAGAAAUGUCUGUAAAAUGAGAGCAGAAACAAUGUUUUCUUUGUUCUUGUGUCAUUUAAAACCUGAUUGCUCAGACGCUCUGACAGAGUGAAUAAACCCUGAGCGUUAAAAUGAAGCUGCCAGCCCGGUAACUCAUUUCAUCACCAGAAACACCCACAACAGGCUGAACAAACCCACACUUACCAACACAACCACAUUUAUCUCCACUUACAAAACAGAACAGAGUGGGACUUCUAAGCAUCAAACACAUCUUUGAUUAAUCAGCUUUUCUGUCUGAAAGAAGCCAGUAAUUAACAAACAUCAUCAGUCUUUAAUGACCUCAUCCUAAAGAAGAAACCUGUAAUCUAAUGAUCUUCUUUUGGCAAACAUGAAGAAUUCCAACGGCAGCGACUGAACUUGUCUCCUCCUGCAUGACGGGGUGCGAGUUCGGACUGGAAAGAGGCUUUUGAACGGCAGAAAUCUCACAGCCUGACACACCAGACCACUGCGUUGGCACGGUCAGGUUCCUGGUGAAAAACACAGGAUUGCAAAGUUGAAUCUUGCUCAAGCUUCGGUGACAAAAUGCACAACCCCAUCGCCACACGGGAACCCUGAAAACCACGGAUUACCUUCAUUUACAACUCUUGCACGUGCACAUGGAAGAUAUGGUGAAGGUUAGACUGUGUUAACGGCUAAAAACACACAGCGGACAUUAAUUGCAGGUCUGUGACGGGACCUGAACUCAAGGCUUUGGCAUGAAAGUUGGACGUGCUCCAUGCAUCCACCACCUCAGCCAUUACACUCUGACUUUCCACCUCCCUUCAAACAGGACACACACUCCUUCCUGCAUUGGCGCUGGACGUGAAGCAGAAGCUGUCCAAUAUAAAAGUAGUUCCUGCUGUAGGGAUACUGGUCUGCUGCCACAAGUUUAGCAGCAAUGCAACCGCAUCCAGCAGCACACUGCCUUCACCAAUAAAAUACACGCAUGUGCUCAUUCCUAAUAGAUUAGCUCGUAAUUUAGUCUCAACCGAGGUUUAAAGCAUCUGCACAACUAUGCAGGUUCGCUGAACCUGGAUGAGCAGCAGAAAAUGGACAGAAGGGCUUCACCGUCGUGGACACGGAGGAUAAAAUGAUUGCCGAAACAUCUUUCUCAAGGUGUAAACAGCAGUGUUUUGGUGUCUGAUAAGCCAUCCGACUCUUGAGUAUGCAGCUCUGCACGUUGGCAGCAUAAACGCAGCAUGAGCGCGUCUCCAUGCUGAGCUGAAGUUACGGGACAGUAACACAAAGAGGAUUUCGUGCUAAAAAGAUCUCCACUUGAUUUGAACUCCGACUGCUGAAGCCUCUAAUCUUCAUCCAUCCAUCAGAGGCAGCACUUCCUCUGUUGUGAAGACUGAACUUCAAUAAAAAAAUGUACUGUUCAAGUUUUCUAAUUGGAACUUAUCAAUUAUUAUUUGUGUAAUUACUUUUACUUAAAGUGGACAGUUUGGGUAUUUAGCUUUCUGUUUUUUUGAAGUAGUUUAACCUGUUGGUUUGUUUCCUGAUCGUCAGAUCGUAAAAGUCAGCUUCAUAGACAUUAGUAAAGUUUCCAUCUGAAUUUUGCAGAACAAUGUACUUGUUAAAAGAAAUCGUGACUCGCUGCUUGUCUCCACCCGCUGCUGCUGCUGCGUGAACACAAGCUCGUUGGCUGAUGGAGGUGAACAGCUGGUGGAGCUGAUCCUCCAGCCGCUGCCGUUAAAGCACCGCAGAAGAAGAAGAGGACGCAGCGAGACGACGCCAUUAAAAGCUCAGACGAAACACUGAAACUCGAUCUGCUCAGAGGCCGGCGUCUGGAGGAGGACAUAUAGAUGCAUAUCGCUGCUGUUGGACGAAGAAAUCCUGCUGGGUGUUUUCCUUCCUUACAGUGGGAUUUUACAGU